rnacentral:rRNA from 1 species
UACGUAGGGGGCAAGCGUUGUCCGGAAUCAUUGGGCGUAAAGCGCGUGUAGGCGGCCCAGUAAGUCCGCUCUGAAAGCCCGGGGCUCAACCCCGGGAGGCGGGUGGAUACUGCUGGGCUAGAGUACGGAAGAGGCGAGUGGAAUUCCCGGUGUAGCGGUGAAAUGCGCAGAUAUCGGGAGGAACACCAAUGGCGAAGGCAGCUCGCUGGGACGUUACUGACGCUGAGACGCGAAAGCGUGGGGAGCAAACAGG